rnacentral:sRNA from 1 species
UGAGUGUGAUCUGGCUGUGACAUCAGCAUCCCACUGAUUACUAGGGUUGAUUCAUCUGAUUUUGCUGACUGGUCUGGGAUCCAUAUACUUCAUUCA